CACGGACCUCAAAACCACGUCUGGGGCCAUCCCGACUGUGGGGCUCUGCCUGCAGCUCCUUCGAUUGGAGAGACCGGAGGCCUUCCUGACCCCAUCGGGCUGCGAUGCCCUCCCCAGCCUGCACCCUGCUGCCACCGACAUGCUCGAGAGGGGUGAAGAGCUAGAGGCAGCUCCCUUGCACCCAUUUUAUUGCCAGCUCCACCACGACGAUGUGUCUCUCCCAGCAGCUGAUGCCGUGGCCAGCAUCCUGCCCAGAAAGCAGCCGUUCCCACGUGGGACAGGAGCACCAUCGGAGGAGAGGAGGUCCCAGGAGAUCAUCAGGGACAACCAGGAGCUGGAGGUGAGCAGCUACCGCCAGGCAAUGAAGCGGAUGGCGGGGGACCUCCUGUCCCUGCGCCGGCAUGUCACCAGCCUGGAGGUGGAGAACAGGCACCUGCGGUGCAGCCUGGCCUCGCAGGAGGAGCUGGGCCACGC
rnacentral:lncRNA from 1 species